CACAAAAAACCAGUCAAUCUCUCUCUCCCUCUCUCUCUUUAUUCUUCUUUUGGGCACAAAUUUCCAUUUCACUUUUUUAUUUUUCAUUUUAUUUUUUUUCGCCAUUUCUAAACGCUCGAGCUCCUCGCAUCCUGUCUCCUGUCUUCUACUCUUCUUCCUCCUCCUCCUCAUCGUCUUCAUCUCGCCAGCUCUCUCUCUCUCAUCGGCGUCAAGUUCGCCGAGCGAUUCCAUAGCCUGCAGACGGCCGACUCUCGUCGUUUUUCCUGUUUCCACGCACGUCUCGCCUGCGAUGCCGGUUCAGAUCCCUAAUGUCGAUAAACUCGAUGCGUAACUCAGCGUCGCCCGUUGCAAUUUAUCAUUGCGUUCGGCGGGAGGUUCAAAUUCCAUGGUGGAGGAGCGGGGGCCUUGGAGGUAGAGAAAAUUUGUCUGAUCUGUUGAUGAUGAUGGCUAUGGAAUGGUAGUCUUUCCUUUUGGAUUUGAAUGGGAACGCAGCUGACUGAACUUUUUAGUUCAUGGAGCUGUGAUUGAAAUUGUCU